rnacentral:misc_RNA from 1 species
UGUGCCCCCAUAGUAUAUAUUUGUUACAUCAACCUCAGGAUAUAUGCCUUCGCCAAAAACAUUCUUACAUAGGUCCAAAUGGUAUCUUGUGUCAACUUUUGAGGAGCGAAUACUGUCAUUUGAGGGUGCCACUUGAAAAUAUGCAACUUCAGUGCAAACUUGGAACCACCAUAACCGAUCAGAACUAUUUUCAGUAACAGCAGUGUCUUUCAAAUUUUUUUGAUUAUAUGUUUGAACACUGACGCCAAAACUUCCCAUGUAGAACUCUUUAACAUAUUUGGCAUAAGCUUCCACUAAAUCCUUUCCAGCCUUCUUUGCUUCAACAAGAGGGGAGCAUAAUUUAUCUGGAUUCCCAUAUUGAAAUGCUG